rnacentral:rRNA from 1 species
CAGUAGCCGCGGUAACACGUAGGGUGCGAGCGUUAAUCGGAAUUACUGGGCGUAAAGCGUGCGCAGGCGGUUCGUUAAGACAGAUGUGAAAUCCCCGGGCUUAACCUGGGAACUGCAUUUGUGACUGGCGAGCUAGAGUAUGGCAGAGGGGGGUAGAAUUCCACGUGUAGCAGUGAAAUGCGUAGAGAUGUGGAGGAAUACCGAUGGCGAAGGCAGCCCCCUGGGCCAAUACUGACGCUCAUGCACGAAAGCGUGGGGAGCAAACAGGAUUAGAUACCCGAGUAGUCCCUGUCUCUUAUAC